GCCGGCGUGGCAGAGCUUGGUAAAUGCGCUAGCCUUGAGAGCUAGAGUGCCUUUGGCACAUGCAGGUAAUUGAUUAGUCUCGGCUAAUCGAUCUGAAUUCAAAUCCUGCCGCCGGCG
rnacentral:tRNA from 1 species